UCCAAGCCUGUGGUCUCUGCACUGAACGAGCAUUGCUCAGCUCAAUUAACCCACCCCAAACUCGGUGCAUUACAAAAAUAAUCUAAUUUAAUGGUGUAAUUGUGCAGCAAGGCACCAUUUUACCCCGCUGUAAACCUAUGCAAUAUAUUCAAACCUGAACAAAGCACUGAUGACCCUCUACAAAGCAGGAAUGGUUCAGGCGGGGUAAAAUACUCUGAACAACACAACCAUAGCCAUUUACUCACUAGCCUGUCUACCUGCAUUCAUUUUAAAGCAAUAACUCGAGGAUGAGCAACACCACUCACAUUGAUGGCUCCACUUAUGCAGUGACCAAAACAGCAGCACCUCCCUGCAGUUCAUCUCCACGUUAUGCAAUUCAAUCACGAGGUGCAUGCAAGCUGCUUCCGUGGCCCCCGAAGAGAGGAACGUUACGUGGAGGGUGAGGCAUCCCAAAAUAUGAGGAUAAAUCGCAGGUAAUUCUUAGCAGCGGGUGCAAUCGUUUGCACUGGUGUUUGAAAGGAGAGGCUGCGGAAAUGUGAAAUGGAGAGCUUUUAAAAGGGGGGGAAGGGGGCGAUAAGCAAAUCAAAUUAAUGACAAUGAGUGUUUGUGGAGAGAAGGCAGACAGAGAGCUUGUUUGAGCCCAUCGUGCGUGCCAUGUUAAACACUUCACUCGCCGUGAAGGGGCUAAUCCAGUCUCCGACAGCUAGCUGAUUAUACGAAUAAACUACACACGCUCGCCACGGAGAGAAAGGAGCAUCCCUCGUUAAUGUUCAAGCUCACUCCAACAAGGAAGUAAUUAAGACGCCACCCCGGCAAACCAAAAAAGGAGAAAAGAUUUUAAGUGUUUUUCUAAUAGACCGGCUUGAAGGUGUUUAUUUUAUAUUGUCUCGCUGUAGAAGUCAUAAUGCGGGUGAAGAAGGGCUUACAGGGAGCUAAGCCAGGUGCGGCGAGGCGAGGCGAGGCGAGGCGAGUUUGUGGUUGUUGAGUAAAGUCAGAUGGCUCGGGGCUCGCCUGCAACGAUGCACUCCAGAGUUGCAGGAGCAUAUGAACUGUCGCUUUUUGUUUUAAAUAAUAGAUUGCCUCCCCUAAUUUCAUGCCUGAUAUUUUUGGCAGAGUCAAGAGUCUUUUGGAUGGGCAGCAUCUGUCAGACCUCGGCGGAGGCCAAGAAAACAUUCCCUAACCGAGCUGUAAGAGAAAAAAGCAUGUGUUUUGCUUGAAUAUUGUGACAGUCAGCCACUGGCUCUGCAGGUUAUGUGUUCUUCAACAGAACUUUUAAUAGAUUUCAAGAAGUUUCCAAUCCUUUUUAAGCACUUUUCUCAUUGGUUUUAGUUUUGUGUGGAGUGCUUGUGCGAUUGAUGGUUAAGUAGUUUAACAGUGAUUACAGUGGAGUGAUAUUUGAUUAUUAUCUCCUGAAACGGCAACUCCUCCGGCUUUCUGUUCUCUUAACAAUAGUUUAAUUGUUAGUCUGGACACCCACUCAAUAGACAGGCGAAAUGAAGAGCAGUAAUGGAAAAGAAUUGUGGGGGGAAUGGCAUAAAACAAAUACAUUUUAUAAAAGCACUUGCAUGUCUAUUUUUUAAAAUUAGAUAUAUUUUGAUUAGCCACGAGAGCGUCUUAACCGUGACCUGUUCAAUCAAUAACACGUGUUGUAAUU